UACGUAGGGGGCAAGCGUUGUCCGGAAUCAUUGGGCGCAAAGCGCGUGUAGGCGGCCCAGUAAGUCCGCUCUGAAAGCCCGGGGCUUAACCCCGGGAGGCGGGUGGAUACUGCUGGGCUCGAGUCCGGAAGAGGCGAGUGGAAUUCCCGGUGUAGCGGUGAAAUGCGCAGAUAUCGGGAGGAACACCAAUGGCGAAGGCAGCUCGCUGGGACGUGACUGACGCUGAGACGCGAAAGCGUGGGGAGCAAACAGG
rnacentral:rRNA from 1 species